rnacentral:tRNA from 1 species
GCCGGUGUAGCUCAGUUGGUAGAGCAGCGCAUUCGUAAUGCGAAGGUCGAGGGUUCGACUCCUUUCACCGGCCCCA